UACAGAGGGGGCAAGCGUUGUUCGGAAUUACUGGGCGUAAAGGGCGCGUAGGCGGCCUGUUAAGUCGAACGUGAAAUCCCCGGGCUCAACCCGGGAACUGCGUCCGAUACUGGCAGGCUUGAAUUCGGGAGAGGGAUGUGGAAUUCCAGGUGUAGCGGUGAAAUGCGUAGAUAUCUGGAGGAACACCGGUGGCGAAGGCGGCUCUCUGGACGGUGACUGACGCUGAGACGCGAAAGCGUGGGGAGCAAACAGG
rnacentral:rRNA from 1 species